rnacentral:lncRNA from 1 species
AGGGCGAAGCCAUGUCAGAAAUAAUAGAAAAGGCUUUUUCCUUUGAAAUAUCUAAACGUUCAAAGAUGGGAACAGCCGCAGGGGGGAGAAUACUGUGCUAUGCAAGUUGAUCUGAUUUUGUGGACCAUCCAUUUCCAAUUGGGAAGCUCACUUACUUUCAACUUGAAGCAUCAGAAAACCAGACUUACAGCAGCUUCAGCCUAUAGGGGUUUAUUUUUCUCAUGUAACAAGAAGAACAGAAGUGGACAGAGGCCGAGUUCUCAAGGACUCAGUUUCUUUCUGUCCCACCAACCUUACCAUGUUGGAUUGUCAUCUUUGUGCUUGUUGCCUCAUGAUGGCAAGAUGGCUGCAGCACCUCUGGGACUCACGACUGAUUUUUAAGACUACAGAGCCUAAGUCAAAGCUUGUUCUUGGACCCAGGAAAUAUGUCAAAUCCUUCCAGUGAAUGGGAGACAGUGGAAUCUGUAGGAGGUUCCAGACCCAGCGACGACCAAGCCUGGGUGGUUCUGACACCAAGAACAAAACGCCUGCAAGAUCCACACUGGGAACUCAACCAAGAAGAAAGAAAAGAACAAACAAGAUCAAUUUCUUCCCCACAGGAGCCAGAAUUUUCCUAAGUCUCUACGAAUGUUCAGAGACAUCUUUAUCUCUUGCAGGAACUCUACCUCCUCUCCUGUCUCACCUCCUCCUGAAAAAAGAGACAAAGUCCCACUCCCAUCAAAACACCUCUGAGGUGUCAGCUUCAAAUGAUUUAUGAAUUACUUCUCCCAGCCUGGGUUAGCUUCAAAACUGGGAAUGGGUCAGGGUGUCAGCAUGGGAAGAACCUUUAAGAAUGUCAGGCUUUUAGAGCCUCAAAGCCACAAAUCUCUCAAAUGGUGCCCUCUCCAACCCUGGGCACUAGGUCCGAUGAGCAGGGGAUGGAGGCAUAUUUGGACAGGGGCCUGCAUCUGAGACCAGCCCCUGAUACCAAACCAAAUGUGUCUCUUGUAUUUUUAACUGCAAGCUCCCACCACCCUGAGUGAGUUUUUCCCAAAGCAGUGGUGUCACAAGCAGCCAUUCAGUUGGCCUUUGCAGUCAUGCUGACCCAGGGGUACUUGGUCUUCAUCGGAUUCUCAGUCUAAGCAUCAAUCCUCUGACAGAGGGACCUACCCCAGGCACUUCCAGCUCAGCAGAAAGCACCCUGAGCUAAUAAAGGAAGAUAUAAUUUAGAGGUCAUGCCCCAAAGCCAGCUAUUUCUGACUGCAGAUCCAGCUCCAACUAAAGCCAAGCCAAAAAUUAACAUUAUUUUGCAUUUUAAACAACUUACUAGUCUUUCAAAGGGUACUGAUUGGUGAACAGCAAUUUACAAUGAAGUAAUCAGUUGCAAACUACCAAUAAUUGCUAUCAC